rnacentral:lncRNA from 10 species
CUGACUCACAGCCAAUUAGAGACUGAGGUGAAUUGGCUCACAGCCAAUCCAAGACUGGUGUGGUUUGACUCCUUAUGCAAAUGAAUGUCCUGGAAUGAACCAAUCAUUGGCCAGAGUGCAGGUCUGGCCCAUGGCCAAUCAGAGGCUGAUGUGGUUUGAUACCUUAUGCAAAUGAAGGUCCUGGAAUGGACCAAUCACAGGCCAGUGUUCAGACUCUUCAGUGCCAGGGAGUGUGUCCAAGUCAUCCUUAGAUCCCUAUCUCUGUACCCUAUUCUCCUGCCUCAGUCUUGUGUGAGAUUUUGCACCCUUUGACCAUCAUCAUCAUCUCCCCAUUCCCCCAAUCUCUCCCUCAACUACUUCUAACCACUAUUCAUUAAUCUCUUGUAUUAUUUAGGUGUAAGGAAGAACAGAAGGAUCCAAGUGUGAGAAAGCCCACCCUGAGUCUCUCAGAGAUUCAUUUCACUACCAGGUCAAAGACACAAUCAAAAGCCCGACAAAUGGAAUUUGUGGAAUUGGAACAAAAAGGUA